UAUAAGUAAACCAAACCCUAAAAUCUAGGGAGAUGUCCCAUCCAUCCUGUCUUGUGCCGCCACUCUAGCAAAUCCCUCUCGGGAUCUCCCCUGCCAGAUCCGAUCCAGCCAACCACCCACAGCUAUCUCCCUCCUUGAUUUCAUCCUCGACCCAAUCCCCUCGCAGCCAGUCCCCUCCUUCCUGAUUUUUCAGCGCCGCCCAAUCGCCGCAGCCAUCCAUCAAUCCGAUCCAGGCGUAGCUCACUCCGAGCUUCUCUGCUCGCUCGUCCCUGAGCAACUCGCUCCAUCAGCUCCGCCUCCUCGAGCACCAGGACCCCCACGGCCGGUCUUUUCGAGUUCGUCGUCACCGGCCACCCAAGCACCAGCAGCAGCGUCGGACCUCUCUGCCUCCCUCUCCCAUUCUUGCUUCCUCGUUCCCUUGCUGCUUCUUCUCUGCUCCCUCAGACUCAUCUCGCAGGUCUAUCUGGUUUAGGAACCAAAGCACCCUGUGCCUACUCGCCUUGACGCCAUGCAUGCCCGCCCGAGCCCCGCCGGCCACAAGUCGCCGUCAGAGCUGUUGUCUCCGCCCGUUUCCCUGUCGUCCUCGACCGCCCCUCAGCUCCGUCUGCAUCGUCGUUGCCCGGAUUCGGCGCCGGCCAGCCGGAUCCGUCCCGUCCCCACCUCCCCUGCCUUCCCUGUAGCCUGCCUCCAAUCCCCUUCAUGUCCCGCGCCGCCACGCUGGCACGACCGUGUUGACCAUCGGUCGUCGCCAGGAGAAGACGACCGCACGAGCUCGCCCGCUCCCAUUCACCUUCUAGGCCACAUCGCCGCGCCAAGGCCAGCCUCCUCUGCCUCCUGGUCUGGGCCUUGGCCCAUGUGUUGCUUCUUCUUGAUAUUUCCGGUUAAGUUGCGAUUGUGGAGACCCGUUCGACUACAUAGGUUCGCCUACUUUAUGGAUUCGGUCUUCUUCUUAGCGGGAUUUCACGCAAGAUGACCGUCACCUUGGAUCUCGGUGCAGUUGCAGGUUGUUCCAUGUUGGGAGAUGGAUAUCAUGGGAUGUGUCACAAUAUA